GUUAACGUAGAGGAGUAAGUUGAGGCUCGGAAAGUAAUUUCCCUAAAGUCACAUUUGACGCGGGGCUGAAAGCCAGCAUCAUUUAAGACCUUUGCUCUCCCAGUACUUCUGUAAGAAUGAGGGUACAACAGACGGGCUACAUCUGUUUUAAAUAGUGAAAAGAAGAUUUUCAGUUUAGAGCGCUAAAGAAGGUGAGAAUCUUUGACUCCCCUGAGGAAUUGCCCAAGGAACGCUCGAGUCUGCUUGCUGUGUCCAACAAAUAUGGUCUGGUCUUCGCUGGUGGAGCCAGUGGCUUGCAGAUUUUUCCUACUAAAAAUCUUCUUAUUCAAAAUAAACCCGGAGAUGAUCCCAACAAAAUAGUUGAUAAAGUCCAAGGCUUGCUAGUUCCUAUGAAAUUCCCAAUCCAUCACCUGGCCUUGAGCUGUGAUAACCUCACACUCUCUGCGUGCAUGAUGUCCAGUGAAUAUGGUUCCAUUAUUGCUUUUUUUGAUGUUCGCACAUUCUCAAAUGAGGCUAAACAGCAAAAACGCCCAUUUGCCUAUCAU
rnacentral:lncRNA from 1 species